GCCUUGGAUAGCUCAGUUGGUAGAGCAAUGAGACUCUUAAUCUCAGGGUCUGGGGGGUGUUGAACCCCAUGUUGGGCA